rnacentral:rRNA from 1 species
UACGUAGGGUGCGAGCGUUAAUCGGAAUUACUGGGCGUAAAGUGUGCGCAGGUGGCCGCGCAAGUCGAGUGUGAAAUCCCCGAGCUUAACUUGGGAAUUGCGCUCGAAACUACGUGGCUCGAGUGUGGCAGAGGAAGGUGGAAUUCCACGUGUAGCGGUGAAAUGCGUAGAUAUCUGGAGGAACACCGGUGGCGAAGGCGGCAUCCUGGACCGGUAUUGACACUGAGGCGCGAAAGCCAGGGGAGCAAACGGG